UACGGGGGGGGCAAGCGUUGUUCGGAAUUACUGGGCGUAAAGGGCUCGUAGGCGGCCAACUAAGUCAGACGUGAAAUCCCUCGGCUUAACCGGGGAACUGCGUCUGAUACUGGAUGGCUUGAGGUUGGGAGAGGGAUGCGGAAUUCCAGGUGUAGCGGUGAAAUGCGUAGAUAUCUGGAGGAACACCGGUGGCGAAGGCGGCAUCCUGGACCAAUACUGACGCUCAUGUGCGAAAGCGUGGGGAGCAAACAGG
rnacentral:rRNA from 1 species